rnacentral:misc_RNA from 1 species
CCAAUAGCGUAUAUUAAAGUUGUUGCAGUUAAAAAGCUCGUAGUUGAAUUUCGGAAUCAAUAUAUCGGUCAUGCCUCUGGUACGCACUUAUUUAUUGAUUUCUCACUUCUGACGAAUCAUAAUGUCAUUAGUUUGGUGUUAUGAGGAAUCAGGACUGUUACUUUGAAAAAAUUAGAGUGUUUAAAGCAGGCUCGCGCUUGAAUACAUUAGCAUGGAAUAAUGAAAUAGGAUGUUUGAUCUUAUUUUGUUGGUUUCUAGGAUCGACAUAAUGAUUAAUAGGGAUAGUUGGGGGCAUUAGUAUUCAAUUGUCAGAGGUGAAAUUCUUGGAUUUAUUGAAGACUAACUACUGCGAAAGCAUUUGCCAAGGAUGUUUUCAUUAAUCAAGAACGAAAGUUAGGGGAUCGAAGACGAUCAGAUACCGUCGUAGUCUUAACCAUAAACUAUGCCGACUAGGGAUCGGAUGAUGUUAUUUUUUAAUGACUCAUUCGGCACCUUACG